GGGGAUGUCAAGGUUUCGACGGGGAUCGUUGAGAUUUAGAGAGCCAUCCGCAGUUUCGGGCCUGCGUCAACAACCUGAACCUAAAUAUAAACGCUAACGAAGAUAGCAAUAACUACGCUUUUGCGUACGCUGCUUAAUUAAGCGGCAUGUCCUGCUGCCGGUUCCCACGCCUGCAGUUAGGGCAUCGAUGAAGGUUGGGCAACUUUUUUCUCAAAGCUUUGCGAGGGAAAAAGAUAAUAGGAUGAAGCUACCAACUCGUGAGCCUGCCGACAGGCGCGCGGGGCGGGAAACUUAAAAUAUCGGCUAUGAUGGUAGCGCUCUGAAUGGAUGGAUCUUCGGACAUGGGUUCGAUUCCCAUCAUCUCCA
rnacentral:tmRNA from 1 species